rnacentral:lncRNA from 1 species
CAUAAAUCCGCCGCAAUCAAUACCUGCUGCACACCUUAACACAUAGAGCGUAUCCCGUUCCGACUGGCGACGGUAUUGUUCGCCUCGAGAGAGUGGAAUGUCACCAUGGCAGUAUGGAUUAUUGAAAGUAUACACUAGCCAGUGAUCGCACGUCAUGGCUGCCUGAAUUUAACAAGUACAUAGUGGAUGUGACAUAAAACGCAUAUACUCGGGAGGCGAAGAGGCGGACGACGGUGGUAUGAGGGUGUGUAAGGCCGAUGUUCCUUGUCAGCAUUUUACGCUGGAUGUACUCUGACCACACGCCUAGACCGCCAUCUAGGAUUCUGCUAUUAAAUAUAUCAAUGUUCCAGCUAAAUGGCGGUGGUCUGUAAUUAAUC